CAAUGUGGUUGAGGUCAGGACUCUGACUGGGCCACUCCAGAAGGUCAGGACUCUGACUGGGCCACUCCAGAAGGUCAGGACUCUGACUGGGCCACUCCAGAAGGUCAGGACUCUGACUGGGCCACUCCAGAAGGUCAGGACUCUGACUGGGCCACUCCAGAAGGUCAGGACUCUGACUGGGCCACUCCAGAAGGUCAGGACUCUGACUGGGCCACUCCAGAAGGUCAGGACUCUGACUGGGCCACUCCAGAAGGUCAGGACUCUGACUGGGCCACUCCAGAAGGUCAGGACUCUGAAUGGGCCACUCCAGAAGG